UAGAGUUUGAUCCUGGCUCAGAAUCAACGCUGGCGGCGUGCCUAACACAUGCAAGUCGAACGCGAAAGUCCCGCAAGGGAUCAGUAGAGUGGCAAACGGGUGAGUAACACGUGGGUGACCUGCCUUCGAGCGGGGGAUAACGUCCCGAAAGGGACGCUAAUACCGCAUAACAUCCUGCCUUUGAAGAGGUGGAGAUCAAAGCCGGGGAUCGCAAGACCCGGCACUUGAAGAGGGGCCCGCGCCUGAUUAGCUAGUUGGUGGGGUAACGGCCUACCAAGGCGACGAUCAGUAUCCGGCCUGAGAGGGCGGACGGACACACUGGGACUGAGACACGGCCCAGACUCCUACGGGAGGCAGCAGUGGGGAAUUGUUCGCAAUGGGCGCAAGCCUGACGACGCAACGCCGCGUGGAGGAUGAAGAUUUUCGGAUCGUAAACUCCUGUCGAAUGGGACGAAUAGAUUGCGGGUGAACAGCCCGUGGUCCUGACGGUACCGUUAAAGGAAACCCCGGCUAACUCCGUGCCAGCAGCCCCGGUCAA
rnacentral:rRNA from 1 species